GGAGAAUGUUAUCACGGGAGACACACGGCGGGUGCUAACGUCCGUCGUGAAGAGGGAAACAACCCAGACCGCCAGCUAAGGUCCCAAAGUCAUGGUUAAGUGGGAAACGAUGUGGGAAGGCCCAGACAGCCAGGAUGUUGGCUUAGAAGCAGCCAUCAUUUAAAGAAAGCGUAAUAGCUCACUGGUCGAGUCGGCCUGCGCGGAAGAUGUAACGGGGCUAAACCAUGCACCGAAGCUGCGGCAGCGACGCUGAUGCGUUGUUGGGUAGGGGAGCGUUCUGUAAGCCUGCGAAGGUGUGCUGUGAGGCAUGCUGGAGGUAUCAGAAGUGCGAAUGCUGACAUAAGUAACGAUAAAGCGGGUGAAAAGCCCGCUCGCCGGAAGACCAAGGGUUCCUGUCCAACGUUAAUCGGGGCAGGGUGAGUCGACCCCUAAGGCGAGGCCGAAAGGCGUAGUCGAUGGGAAACAGGUUAAUAUUCCUGUACUUGGUGUUACUGCGAAGGGGGGACGGAGAAGGCUAUGUUGGCCGGGCGACGGUUGUCCCGGUUUAAGCGUGUAGGCUGGUUUUCCAGGCAAAUCCGGAAAAUCAAGGCUGAGGCGUGAUGACGAGGCACUACGGUGCUGAAGCAACAAAUGCCCUGCUUCCAGGAAAAGCCUCUAAGCAUCAGGUAACAUCAAAUCGUACCCCAAACCGACACAGGUGGUCAGGUAGAGAAUACCAAGGCGCUUGAGAGAACUCGGGUGAAGGAACUAGGCAAAAUGGUGCCGUAACUUCGGGAGAAGGCACGCUGAUAUGUAGGUGAAGCGACUUGCUCGUGGAGCUGAA
rnacentral:rRNA from 1 species